UUGUUGCUGGCAGAUCUAAACAGGUCAUUGAAACUCUACCAACAGAAGACACCUCGAAGCUUGAGUCUGGUUUUACUUGGACCUUGUCCCACAGACCUCUUCCUUUUGCUGAUUGUAAUCUGUAUUCUUUCACUCUUAAAAAAUUGCCAUUUCAGGACACUUCCUACAUCUGAGGAAAUAUGCAUUCAUCUUGCAGUACUUUUCUCCUCCAAAUAAAAGUCAGUAUGAUAACAACUACACUAUCAGAGUCUAAGCCAAAGGACACUUCAGUUAUCCAAUCUUGCAACAAAUACAUUUAAGCACUUAAUAUGGGCUACUGUUGGUACUAGGGGCAUUGAGAACUUCAGAUUUGAUUAACACCCAAGAGCUGCUACCAAAAAAUAAACUAGGCAGCUACUAGGCAAUAAGAUGGGGCACAUGUGUAAAACUUCUGAUUUUAGCUUGGUGAAGAGUGGU
rnacentral:lncRNA from 1 species